GUGGGGAAUUUUGGACAAUGGGGGCAACCCUGAUCCAGCCAUGCCGCGUGCGGGAAGAAGGCCUUCGGGUUGUAAACCGCUUUUGUCAGGGAAGAAAUCCUUUGGGUUAAUACCUCGGAGGGAUGACGGUACCUGAAGAAUAAGCACCGGCUAACUACGUGCCAGCAGCCGCGGUAAUAUGUAGGGUGCGAGCGUUAAUCGGAAUUACUGGGCGUAAAGCGUGCGCAGGCGGUUUUUUAAGAUCGAUGUGAAAUCCCCGGGCUCAACCUGGGAACUGCAUUAGGGACUGCAAGGCUGGAGUGCGGCAGAGGGAGAUGGAAUUCCGCGUGUAGCAGUGAAAUGCGUAGAUAUGCGGAGGAACACCGAUGGCGAAGGCAAUCCCCUGGGCCUGCACUGACGCUCAUGCACGAAAGCGUGGGGAGCAAACAGGAUUAGAAACCCUUGUAGUCC
rnacentral:rRNA from 1 species